rnacentral:rRNA from 1 species
GACGAACGCUGGCGGCGUGCUUAACACAUGCAAGUCGAACGAAGUGGCGAACGGGUGAGUAACGCGUAAUCAACCUGCCCUUCAGAGGGGGACAACAGUUGGACACGACUGCUACUACCGCAUACUUAAGGAGGGGAUUGCGUCUGGUUAGCUAGUUGGAGGGGUAACGGCCCACCAAGGAGAUGAUCAGUAGCCGGUCUGAAAGGAUGAACGGCCAAAGUGGGACUGAGACACGGCCCAGAAUCCUACGGGAGGGAGCAGUGGGGAAUCUUCCGCAAUGGACGAAAGUCUGACGGAGCAACGCCGCGGGAGUGAUGACGGCCUUCGGGGUGUAAAGCUCUGUUAAUCGGGACGCGGUACCGGAAGAGAAAGCCACGGCUAACUACGUGCCAGCAGCCGCGGUAAUAC